UAACUAUACAAAGGUAUUGUAAUAAGAUUUUAAUUGAAUGCUAAGAGAAUGGAGAUUUAAGGAAAAACUUUUUUAAAAAUAAAAAUUUAACUUUUUUUAAUUUGUGAAGAAACAAUUAUUUAUAUUAAAGACAAGAAGACCCUAAGAAUUUAUGAUUUAAUAAAUUGAUUUAUUUAUUUAUUUAAUCUUGAUUGGGGUGAUCAAAAAAUAUUAAUAACUUUUAAAAUUUAAAUUGACCUAUUAUUAAUAAAUACAUGAAUAAAAUACUCUAGGGAUAACAGCGUAAUAAUUUUUGAUAGAUCUUAUAGACAAAAUAGUUUGCGACCUCGAUGUUGGAUUAGGAUUCUUUUUUAAUGAAGAUGUUAAAAUAAGAAGUUUGUUCAACUUUUAAAUUCCUACUUGAUCUGA
rnacentral:rRNA from 1 species